UACGGAGGGAGCUAGCGUUUGUUCGGAAUUACUGGGGCGUAAAGCGCACGUAGGCGGCUUUGUAAGUUAGAGGUGAAAGCCCGGGGCUCAACCCCGGAAUUGCCUUUAAGACUGCAUCGCUUGAAUCCGGGAGAGGUGAGUGGAAUUCCGAGUGUAGAGGUGAAAUUCGUAGAUAUCGGAAGAACACCAGUGGCGAAGGCGCUCACUGGACCGGUAUUGACGCUGAGGUGCGAAAGCGUGGGGGAGCAAAACAGG
rnacentral:rRNA from 1 species